AAGUCGUAACAAGGUUUCCGUAGGUGAACCUGCGGAAGGAUCAUUCACAAUCAGUGUUUAAUGGCACUUGAAAUCCAUUACCCACCUUGUGUGCAUUGUCGAGGAGAACCUUUCUUUUUUUCUUUCUCUCUUUUUCUCCUCCGUCUUUGGGGGAGGGGAAAAGGUUUGGAAGGUUUGGGGGGUUCUCUUUUCAUACAUACUCUGUUAUUUCAGUAUCAGUCUACAUCAAUUGAGUAACAAAAACUCGAAUACAACUUUCAACAACGGAUCUCUUGGCUCUC
rnacentral:misc_RNA from 1 species